rnacentral:rRNA from 1 species
CAAGUCGCACGGUCAGCAAUGACAGUGGCGACCGGGUGAGUAACACGUAGGAAUCUAUCCCAGGGUGGGGGACAACAGCGGGAAACUGCUGCUAAUACCGCAUGAUACCUGAGGGUCAAAGGCGCAAGUCGCCUUGGGAGGAGCCUGCGUCUGAUUAGCUUGUUGGUGAGGUAAAGGCUCACCAAGGCGACGAUCAGUAGCUGGUCUGAGAGGAUGAUCAGCCACAUUGGGACUGAGACACGGCCCANACUCCUACGGGAGGCAGCAGUGGGGAAUAUUGGACAAUGGGCGAAAGCCUGAUCCAGCAAUGCCGCGUGUGUGAAGAAGGUCUUCGGAUUGUAAAGCACUUUUGGCAGGGACGAUGAUGACGGUACCUGCAGAAUAAGCCCCGGCUAACUUCGUG